rnacentral:rRNA from 1 species
AUUGAACGCUGGCGGCAGGCCUAACACAUGCAAGUCGAGCGAGCGGCGGACGGGUGAGUAAUGUAUGGGGACUGCCCGAUAGAGGGGGAUAACUACUGGAAACGGUGGCUAAUCCCGCAUACUAUCGGAUAAACAAUAUUGGAUGAGCUAGUAGGUGGGGUAAAGGCUCACCUAGGCGACGAUCUCUAGCUGGUAUGAGAGGAUGAUCAGACACACUGGGACUGAGACACGGCGUAGACGCCUACGUAGGCAGCAGUUGGGAAUAUUGCACAAUGGGCGCAAGCCUGAUGCAGCCAUGCCGCGUGUAUUAAGAAGGCCUUAGGGUUGUGAAGUACUUUCAGCGGGGAGGAGUUACCCGCAGAAGAAGAACCGGCUAACUCCGUGCCAGCAACCGCGGUAAUUC